AGACGUGUAGCUCAGUUGGUAGAGCGCUUUAAUCAGGAGGUCGCCGGUUCGAUCACGGUCACGUCAA
rnacentral:tRNA from 4 species